rnacentral:rRNA from 1 species
UACAGAGGUGGGCAAGCGUUGUUCGGAAUUACUGGGCGUAAAGGGCGCGUAGGCGGUUCGUUAAGUCCUGUGUGAAAUCCCCCGGGCUCAACUGGGGAACUGCCACAGGAAACUAGCGGGCUUGAGUUCGGGAGAGGGAAGCGGAAUUCCGGGUGUAGCGGUGGAAAAUGCGUAGAUAUCCGGAAGGAACACCGGUGGCGAAGGCGG